rnacentral:rRNA from 1 species
CAGAGGUGCAAGCGUUAAUCGGAAUUACUGGGCGUAAAGCGAGCGUAGGUGGCUUGAUAAGUCAGAUGUGAAAUCCCCGGGCUUAACCUGGGAACUGCAUCUGAUACUGUUAGGCUAGAAUAGGUGAGAGGAAGGUAGAAUUCCAGGUGUAGCGGUGAAAUGCGUAGAGAUCUGGAGGAAUACCGAUGGCGAAGGCAGCCUUCUGGCAUCAUAUUGACACUGAGUUCGAAAGCGUGGGUAGCAAACAGGAUU